GUGCCAGCAGCCGCGGUAAUACGGAGGAUGCGAGCCUUAUCCGGAUUUAUUGGGUUUAAAGGGUGCGUAGGCUGUUCCUCAAGUCAGCGGUGAAAUGCCGGGGCUCAACCCCGGAGCUGCCGUUGAUACUGUGGGGCUUGAAUACUGUUGCCGUGGGAGGAAUGAGUAGUGUAGCGGUGAAAUGCAUAGAUAUUACUCAGAACACCGAUUGCGAAGGCAUCUCACGAAGCAGCGAUUGACGCUGAGGCACGAAAGCGUGGGGAUCAAACAGGAUUAGAUACCCUGGUAGUCCACGCAUAAACGAUGAUGACUAACCGUCGGCGAUACACAGUCGGUGGCCAAGCGAAAGCGAUAAGUCAUCCACCUGGGGAGUACGACCGCAAGGUUGAAACUCAAAGGAAUUGACGGGGGCCCGCACAAGCGGAGGAACAUGUGGUUUAAUUCGAUGAUACGCGAGGAACCUUACCCGGGCUCGAACGGCUGGUGAAGAGAAACAGAGAUGUUGACGUCCUUCGGGACACCAGUCGAGGUGCUGCAUGGUUGUCGUCAGCUCGUGUCGUGAGAUGUUGGCUCAAGUGCCAUAACGAGCGCAACCCUUGCUGCCAGUUACCAGCACGUGAUGGUGGGGACUCUGGCAGGACUGCCACCGUAAGGUGUGAGGAAGGCGGGGAUGACGUCAAAUCAGCACGGCCCUUACGUCCGGGGCGACACACGUGUUACAAUGACAGCUACAGAGGGAAGCCACCUGGCGACAGGGAGCAGAUCUCGAAAAGCUGCCUCAGUUCGGACUGGAGUCUGCAACCCGACUCCACGAAGCUGGAUUCGCUAGUAAUCGCGCAUCAGCCAUGGCGCGGUGAAUACGUUCCCGGGCCUUGUACACACCGCCCGU
rnacentral:rRNA from 1 species